rnacentral:pre_miRNA from 1 species
UGAUGAUGAUGGUGAUGACGGUGAUGAUGAUGGUAACGAUGAUGAAGAUGAUCACAAUCAUCAUCAUCGUGUUCGUCGUCAUCAUCAUCAUCAUCAGAA